GGCAUUGGUAGUUUGGUACACAGACAGGAGACAGCAAGUAAGGGAGGAGAGAUGGUUUAGGGCAUUGGUAGUUUGGUACAUAGACAGGAGACAGCAGGUAAGGGAGGAGAGAUGGUUUAGGGCAUUGGUAGUUUGGUACAUAGACAGGAGACAGCAAGUAAGGGAGGAGAGAUGGUUUAGGGCAUUGGUAGUUUGGUACAUAGACAGGAGACAGCAAGUAAGGGAGGAGAGAUGGUUUAGGGCAUUGGUAGUUUGGUACAUAGACAGGAGACAGCAGGUAAGGGAGGAGAGAUGGUUUAGGGCAUUGGUAGUUUGGUACAUAGACAGGAGACAGCAAGUAAGGGAGGAGAGAUGGUUUAGGGCAUUGGUAGUUUGGUACAUAGACAGGAGACAGCAGGUAAGGGAGGAGAGAUGGUUUAGGGCAUUGGUAGUUUGGUACAUAGACAGGAGACAGCAGGCAAGGGAGGAGAGGUGGUUUAGGGCAUUGGUAGUUUGGUACAUAGACAGGAGACAGCAGGUAAGGGAGGAGAGAUGGUUUAGGGCAUUGGUAGUUUGGUACAUAGACAGGAGACAGCAGGUAAGGGAGGAGAGAUGGUUUAGGGCAUUGGUAGUUUGGUACAUAGACAGGAGACAGCAGGCAACUUCUUUUUUUGGUGAUAAACACUUGCUUAUGUUUUUUCUUCAAGUCAACAUGCAAGUUCGGCUGUGUAUAAGUGAUUAGUGGUAUAAUUGUGUGUGUGUAC